CGGGAGACACACGGCGGGUGCUAACGUCCGUCGUGGAGAGGGAAACAACCCUGACCGACAGCUAAGGCCCCCAAUUCGUGGCUAAGUGGGAAAGGAUGUGGGACUCCCAAAACAACCAGGAGGUUGGCUUAGAAGCAGCCACCCUUUAAAGAAAGCGUAAUAGCUCACUGAUCGAGUCGUCCUGCGCGGAAGAUGUAACGGGGCUAAGCCAGUUACCGAAGCUGCGGAUGUGCAAU
rnacentral:rRNA from 1 species